AUACAUUUCUCGGUCUUUUGGCUAAGAUCAAAUGUAGUAUAUAUUUUUAUCAAUUUAAUAUUUGAUAUGUGAGUCAUUGGCUCACAAGUUCAAUUUUU
rnacentral:snRNA from 2 species